CCCUGGUGGUUCAAGUGGUAAAGAAUCUGCCUGCAAUGCAGGAGACCUAGGUUUAAUUCCUGGGUCAGGAA
rnacentral:tRNA from 1 species